rnacentral:rRNA from 1 species
UACGGAGGGUGCAAGCGUUAAUCGGAAUUACUGGGCGUAAAGCGUGCGCAGGCGGUUUGUUAAGUCCGUUGUGAAAGCCCCGAGCUCAACUUGGGAAUUGCAGUGGAUACUGGCAGGCUGGAGUACGGUAGAGGAAGGUGGAAUUCCCGGUGUAGCAGUGAAAUGCGUAGAUAUCGGGAGGAACACCAGUGGCGAAGGCGGCCUUCUGGACCAGUACUGACGCUGAGGAGCGAAAGCGUGGGGAGCGAACAGG